GAGUUUCAGUGAAACAAAAAUGGAUUCUAUUCCUAUUACCCUGAGGAAAAAGAUAGUGAGAGAAGAGCUAACAGAGUUUAGAGCAGCCUCCAAACCCUGAAGGGAACUCAACUGCACAGAAUCACCUCUGCCUCACAUACACCCUAAAGAUUGUUUUGUAAAACUCACGGGUGCAACUCAAUUUCAAUCAAGCUCUCCAAUUAGGUUUGCCCUAUAUCCAUCAUCUUUAUGCCUUUAAUUUGAAUGCUAUAAAUGUAUGAGGUAUUAUGGGUGAAUUUGAUACCCUUUUGAUGCAUGUCUUUUUGUGAAUUUUAAUGGCAUGAUUUAUGUGGUUAC
rnacentral:lncRNA from 1 species